ACAGGUGACAGCUAAACAAGUUUUAGUCACUUAAAUUACACAAUUGAGACAGGGCUUAUCAUUCUCUAAUGGCCUACUGAGGAAUUGAUUUGCCUCGUGUUAAGGCACUCAAGCUUGCCAUGUCAGUUUUAAAACUCACUUCUCCACCAACAACUCGAACAGUCCCAGCUAAGGAGAAGCCACACUGGAGGGCUGUGCCUCAAAACAUCUGACACUGGCAGAAUUUAAUUGGAGACAAGGGGACUGGGCUUCAAAUCUCAACACAGACACUCAUUCAUGUGUCGGCUGGUGUGUGUGUGUUUGUGGGUGGGUGGGUGUAAUGUGUGUUGUUGUGCAGAGAUGGACAGGAGGAGCAGAUGGCACACAACUCUCAAGAAUUCUUUGGAGGAGCUGUGGCUUUACGGCUCAUAUACGGCUCUAAUUAUCAGCUUAAGUGAGGGGAAAAGAAUGGAAUAAAAUCCAUUAAACUCAAAAUCUCACGUCAGAAAGUGAAAAAUAAUGCCAACUUCUCACUGAAAUUUGCGCUUUUGAGUUUUCUUCAUUGUCAGAAAAGCAUAAUUUUCCAGCUUCAGACAUAUUAAAUGUCAUAAAUGCUUUUGUACAGCUAUCAUUAUUGAAACAAGGAUAUUACAAAGAGACCAAACAAAAUGAGAAUAGAUCAAUCAGUCAGGAACACAUCAAAUCCUUCUUGGUGUCUGAGAAGUAUUGUGGAAGUGACUGAUGAAUGGAUGGUCAGCAG